rnacentral:miRNA from 10 species
GGGACUUUGGACUUUGUCAUCAGC